rnacentral:rRNA from 1 species
UCCAGACUCCUACGGGAGGCAGCAGUGGGGAAUAUUGGGCAAUGGGCGCAAGCCUGACCCAGCAACGCCGCGUGAAGGAAGAAGGCUUUCGGGUUGUAAACUUCUUUUCUCAGGGACGAAGCAAGUGACGGUACCCAAGGAGGAAGCUCCGGCUAACUACGUGCCAGCAGCCGCGGUAAUACGUAGGGAGCGAGCGUUGUCCGGAAUUACUGGGUGGAAGGGGAGCGUAGGCGGGAUUGCAAGUUGGAGGUGAAAACUGCGGGCUCAACCCGGAGCGUGCAUUCAAAACUGCGAUUCUUGAGUGAAGUAGAGGCAAGCGGAAUUCCUAGUGUAGCGGUGAAAUGCGUAGAUAUUAGGAGGAACACCAGUGGCGAAGGCGGCUUGCUGGGCUUUUACUGACGCUGAGGCUCGAAAGUGUGGGGAGCAAACAGGAUUAGGUACCCCGGUAAG